rnacentral:rRNA from 1 species
ACUCCUACGGGAGGCAGCAGUGGGGAAUAUUGCACAAUGGGCGCAAGCCUGAUGCAGCAACGCCGCGUGAGCGAAGAAGGUCUUCGGAUCGUAAGCUCUUUUCUUUAGGGAAGAAAACUGACGGUACCUAAGGAAUAAGCACCGGCUAAAUACGUGCCAGCAGCCGCGGUAAUACGUAUGGUGCAAGCGUUAUCCGGAAUCACUGGCGUAAAGGGUGCGUAGGCGUUUUUGCAAGUCAGAAGUGAAAGGCUACGGCUCAACCGUAGUAAGCUUUUGAAACUGCAAGACUAGAGUGCAGGAGAGGAAAGUGGAAUUCCUAGUGUAGAGGUGAAAUUCGUAGAUAUUAGGAGGAACACCAGUGGCGAAGGCGACUUUCUGGACUGUAACUGACGCUGGAUGCACGAAAGCGUGGGGAGCGAACAGGAUUAGAU